CGGGGAUCGGACUCAAGGCGGGUCGCCUGUUUUGGAAACAGGACAUUCAGGCAGGUUCAAUUCCUGCAUCCCCGACCA
rnacentral:tRNA from 1 species